rnacentral:rRNA from 1 species
UNUGACUUGAGUGCAGAAGGGGAGAGUGGAAUUCCAUGUGUAGCGGUGAAAUGCGUAGAUAUAUGGAGGAACACCAGUGGCGAAAGCGGUUCUCUGGUCUGUCACUGACGCUGAGGCUCGAAAGCGUGGGUAGCGAACAGGAUUAGAUACCCUGGUAGUNCACGCCGUAAACGAUGAGUGCUAGGUGUUAGGCCCUUUCCGGGGCUUAGUGCCGGAGCUAACGCAAUAAGCACUCCGCCUGGGGAGUACGACCGCAAGGUUGAAACUCAAAGGAAUUGACGGGGGCCCGCACAAGCGGUGGAGCAUGUGGUUUAAUUCGAAGCAACGCGAAGAACCUUACCAGGUCUUGACAUCCCGAUGCUAUUCUCAGAGAUAGGAAGUUACUUCGGUACAUCGGAGACAGGUGGUGCAUGGUUGUCGUCAGCUCGUGUCGUGAGAUGUUGGGUUAAGUCCCGCAACGAGCGCAACCCUUAUUGUUAGUUGCCAUCAUUAAGUUGGGCACUCUAGCGAGACUGCCGGUAAUAAACCGGAGGAAGGUGGGGAUGACGUCAAAUCAUCAUGCCCCUUAUGACCUGGGCUACACACGUGCUACAAUGGUCGGUACAACGAGUUGCGAGCCGGUGACGGCAAGCUAAUCUCUGAAAGCCGAUCUCAGUUCGGAUUGGAGGCUGCAACUCGCCUCCAUGAAGUCGGAAUCGCUAGUAAUCGCGGAUCAGCACGCCGCGGUGAAUACGUUCCCGGGCCUUGUACACACCGCCCGUCACACCACGAGAGUUUGUAACACCCGAAGUCGGUGAGGUAACCUUUUAGGGGCCAGCCGCC